rnacentral:tRNA from 1 species
GCUCCGAUGGCGGAAUCGGUAUACGCAACGGACUUAAAAUCCGUCGCCGCAAGGCUUGCGGGUUCAACUCCCGCUCGGAGCACCA